UUUGGCUGUGGGGAGUCUGUGGUUGAGCUCUGCUGAGGGACUCUGAGGUGAGCUAUGAUAGAAGAUGGGAUUCUCUACAUGGAAACUAGGAAGAGGAUUUUGCUGAAGUUGCGUUCAUGUGCUCAGGACUCUUCAGCACUUCAGAUCCCAAGUGAAACAAGAAAUGGGAGGAUGCAGAACAAAGUACACCGUGAUUACUCAGAACUGGGAAUAGCUGCCAGCAAGAGCUGCUCCCAGGGAAAGGCAGUGGCUGUUUACCUGCCCUGCUCAGCCAGUCCAGGGAGGACAGGAGAACAGUUAAAUGGUUUGCCUUCCUCACAAUACUUUUCUGUAACAUGGCUGGAAAGAAAGAAGGAAUCCUACUGACAUUCCUAUUGGUGAAAGUCAGAGCAAAAGGGUCUGGAUCACAUCCAGUAACAGAAUGAAAUCCAGUCCUGUGUCAAGAUGAUGUAACCACCAGGGGAUUGCUGGUUCCAAGCACAGAUUUUAAGAUCUCCAGUGAGCUGUUGCUGAUUCCAGUACAUUGAGACUGGGACCAAGGCAGACCCUGAUCAUCUCUGUGAGGAGGUCAUGCAGAAAACCCAAGGUAACUCCUAACUUGGGUGAGCAGACCAAAAGGAAAGAGUUCAGCAAGAAAGCCUAUGUAUUUCCUAAAGGUGGUGCCUUCAU